UAGGGAAUCUUCGGCAAUGGGGGGAACCCUGACCGAGCAACGCCGCGUGAGUGAAGAAGGUUUUCGGAUCGUAAAGCUCUGUUGUUAAGGAAGAACGAGUGUGAGAAUGAAAAGUUCAUACUGUGACGGUACUUAACCAGAAAGGGACGGCUAACUACGUGCCAGCAGCCGCGGUAAUACGUAGGUCCCGAGCGUUGUCCGGAUUUAUUGGGCGUAAAGCGAGCGCAGGCGGUUAGAUAAGUCUGAAGUUAAAGGCAGUGGCUCAACCAUUGUAGGCUUUGGAAACUGUUUAACUUGAGUGCAGAAGGGGAGAGUGAAUUCCAUGUGUAGCGGUGAAAUGCGUAGAUAUAUGGAGGAACACCGGUGGCGAAAGCGGCUCUCUGGUCUGUAACUGACGCUGAGGCUCGAAAGCGUGGGGAGCGAACAGG
rnacentral:rRNA from 1 species